ACCAACAGGGAUUGCCCUAGUAACGGCGAGUGAAGCCGCAACAGCUCAAAUUUGAGAUCUGGCUUCGGCCCGAGUUGUAAUUUGUAGAGGAAACUUUCGGUGAGGCACCUUCUGAGUCCCUUGGAACAGGGCGCCAUAGAGGGUGAGAGCCCCGUAUAGUCGGAUGCCGAUCCAAUGUAAAGUUCCUUCGACGAGUCGAGUAGUUUGGGAAUGCUGCUCAAAAUGGGAGGUAAAUUUCUUCUAAAGCUAAAUAUAGGCCAGAGACCGAUAGCGCACAAGUAGAGUGAUCGAAAGAUGAAAAGCACUUUGAAAAGAGGGUUAAAUAGCACGUGAAAUUGUUGAAAGGGAAGCGUUUGUGACCAGACUUGCGCCGUUCCGAUCAUCCGGUGUUCUCACCGGUGCACUCGGGGCGGCUCAGGCCAGCAUCGGUUUUGGUGGGGGGAUAAAGGUCCAGGGAACGUAGCUCCUCCGGGAGUGUUAUAGCCCUGGGCGUAAUGCCCUCGCUGGGACCGAGGUUCGCGCAUCUGCAAGGAUGCUUGGCGUAAAUGGUCAUCAACGACCCGUCCUUGAAACACGGACCAAGGAGUCAAGGUUUUGCGCGAGUGUUUGGGUGUAAAACCCGCACGCGUAAUGAGAGUGAACGUAGGUGAGAGCUUCGGCGCAUCAUCGACCGAUCCUGAUGUAUUCGGAUGGAUUUGAGUAAGAGCGUUAAGCCUUGGACCCGAAAGAUGGUGAACUAUGCUUGGAUAGGGUGAAGCCAGAGGAAACUCUGGUGGAGGCUCGCAGCGGUUCUGACGUGCAAAUCGAUCGUCAAAUCUGAGCAUGGGGGCGAAAGACUAAUCGAACCAUCUAGUAGCUGGUUACCGCCGAA
rnacentral:rRNA from 1 species